GUAGGUGGCAAGCGUUGUCCGGAAUUAUUGGGCGUAAAGCGCGCGCAGGCGGUUCUUUAAGUCUGAUGUGAAAGCCCACGGCUCAACCGUGGAGGGUCAUUGGAAACUGGAGAACUUGAGUACAGAAGAGGAAAGCGGAAUUCCACGUGUAGCGGUGAAAUGCGUAGAGAUGUGGAGGAACACCAGUGGCGAAGGCGGCUUUCUGGUCUGUAACUGACGCUGAGGCGCGAAAGCGUGGGGAGCAAACAGGGAUUAGAUACCCUGGCAGUCCACGCCGUAAACGAUGAGUGCUAAGUGUUAGGGGGUUUCCGCCCCCCUUAGUGCUGCAGCUAACGCAUUAAGCACUCCGCCUGGGAGUACGGCCGCAAGGCUG
rnacentral:rRNA from 1 species